GAUGAGAACGUAGCGAAAUGCGAUAAGUAAUGUGAAUUGCAGAAUUCAGUGAAUCAUCGAAUCUUUGAACGCACCUUGCACCCUUUGGCAUUCCGAAGGGUAUGCUCGUUUGAGUGUCAUUGUACUCUCACACUCUCCGAUCCUAUGGAUUCGGGGAGCGGUGGACUUGGGUGUUGCUGCCUUUCCUUGUGGCUCACCUCAAAUGUGUCAGUGCACCUCUUGGUUGGACAUAGUACGGCGUGAUAAGUGUCUUCGCCGGCACCUCGCAAGAGGGUGGCCGAUCGGGAGCUCUGUGCUUUCAAACCGUCUUCGGACAAUUUCUGACAACUUGACCUCAAAUCGAGUAGGACUACCCGCUGAACUUAAGCAUAUCAAUAAGCGGAGGA
rnacentral:misc_RNA from 1 species